AACGAACGCUGGCGGCAUGCCUAACACAUGCAAGUCGAACGAACCCUUCGGGGUUAGUGGCGCACGGGUGCGUAACGCGUGGGAAUCUGCCCUUUGCUUCGGAAUAACAGUUAGAAAUGACUGCUAAUACCGGAUGAUGUCUUCGGACCAAAGAUUUAUCGGCAAAGGAUGAUCCCGCGUAGGAUUAGGUAGUUGGUGGGAUAAAGGCCUACCAAGCCGACGAUCCUUAGCUGGCCUGAGAGGAUGAUUCGCCACGCUGGGACUGAGACACGGCCCAGACUCCUACGGGAGGCAGCAGUGGGGAAUAUUGGACAAUGGACGCAAGUCUGAUCCAGCAAUGCCGCGUGAGUGAUGAAGGCCUUAGGGUUGUAAAGCUCUUUUACCAGGGAUGAUAAUGACAGUACCUGGAGAAUAAGCUCCGGCUAACUACGUGCCAGCCGCCGCGGUAACAC
rnacentral:rRNA from 1 species